UACGGAGGAUGCAAGCGUUAUCCGGAAUUAUUGGGCGUAAAGCGUCCGCAGGUGGUUGUUCAAGUCUGCUGUUAAAGCGCAGGGCUUAACUCUGUAACGGCGGUGGAAACUGAGCGACUGGAGUAUGGUAGGGGUAGCGGGAAUUCCCGGUGUAGCGGUGAAAUGCGUUGAGAUCGGAAGGAACGCCCGCGGCGAAAGCGCGUCCCUGGACCCCACCUGACGCUGAGACGCGAAGCCAGGGAGCGAAGCGGG
rnacentral:rRNA from 1 species